rnacentral:tRNA from 1 species
CUCCCCGUAGUUCAAUGGAUAGAACACCCGCCUUCUAAGCAGGUAAUGGAGGUUCGAUUCCUCCCGGGGAGACCA